rnacentral:tRNA from 1 species
GCCUGGCCAGCUCAGGCCAUGGAGCGUGAGACUCUUGUUCUCAGGGUUGUGAGUUCAAGUCCCAUGUUGGGUA